AGAAUCAACGCUGGCGGCGUGCCUAACACAUGCAAGUCGAUCGAGAAAGUGGAGCAAUCCAUGAGUAAAGAGGCGCACGGGUGAGUAACACGUGACUAACCUACCCUCGAGUGGGGAAUAACCUGGGGAAACCCGGGCUAAUACCGCAUAAUACCCACGGGUCAAAGGGAGCAAUUCGCUUGGAGGGAGGGGGUCGCGGCAGAUUAGUUAGUUGGCGGGUAAUCGGCCCACAAGACGAUGAUCUGUA
rnacentral:rRNA from 1 species